AAAGGAACAAAAUGAGCAUUCUGCAAGUGACCCACUGAGCCAUCAAGAAGGGGCAGAGUGAAAAUACUGCUUUUGGGUGAAGUAGCAACAUAUUGUGUUGUUUGCUUCAAUUGGUGUUUUGACAAGA
rnacentral:snoRNA from 1 species